GCCUGGCUGGCUCAGUCAGUAGAGCAUGUGACUCUUGAUCUCAGGAUCAUGGGUGCAAGCUCUAUGUUGGGUG
rnacentral:tRNA from 1 species